GAGAAGAGAUAUUUGAGAGAAAUUUAAGGAGAAGAUGUUUGCAGGCCUAUGCUCGGAAAUCGAAAAGGACAAGAAAAGACUCGGCGAUUCCGAUCGAGAGCAGGAGAUGAUGGCGAGGGCUCCGAUGGUGGAGGACGUUUACGAGACUGAAGAGAAAAAGCAAGCUGCUGCUGAUGUUCUCUAUCACUAGUUCACUACUCGCAAUUUGUCAUGGUAUGCAUUGGGGAAGGAGUUCGACCAACUGAUCUCAGGUUGCACCUAAUGAAGGAACAUUCGGGAAUGCCUUCAUCUUUGAAGAAAGAGCCUUUUCCUGCAUCUUCUUCUCCCGAUUCCGUAGGUGCAUCAUCCUCGGGGAUGGCGAAAGGCGAGAAAAACAAACUAAGCUCAUAGGCUUUUCGCAUUGAAUCAGAUACAGUAGCAUCAUUUAUUCGCGGUAAGAACUAUCAAAAAACACCAGAGACGACAAAGUUCUCUAUUCCAGCGAGCAUCAUUAUGUAAAUAACAGAAACCGAGUCAAAGUAAUGCACCAGGUUUGAUGCAAUAUCUGGAUCGGUGAGUCUUUUAGAUUUUUUGUUUCUUUUAAUCUUUUGAUAUUGUACUUCAAAUCGAUGUGUGACUAAUCUACUUCUCUUCGUUCGGUCAAUGUAAAACACUUACAUGAGUGAUUUCUAUACCAUCAUAUAGCCGACAAAUUUCACUUUUACAUGUAUAUUAUUUCCUUGUUACCCCUUAAAAGCCAGUUUGUGUUUCAAUCCUUAGAGAUGCCUCAUAUUUGCAUAUAUACCCCUGAAUAUUGCGCACAUACUCUUAGAAAUAGCUCAUAUUUGUUAUUUGCCCUUCUUAAGCCUCUUAUGCUGAAAAGGUUGCACUAGUGGAGGAACAUAUAUGCUAAAAUGAAAUAUUUUUUUGCAGAGCAAUGCUGGUGGUACACCCCUUUGGGGGUGUAGGAUAUGUGACUAGCGGACAACACCCCCUCCCUUGGAUGGGUGGGGUGUAUACAAGAAGCAUUUUCCAUUUUUAGGGAUACAAGUGCCACAUGCAGGUUUUGAGGUGUAUGCACACUAGUUAUGUUGGAGAUUAUAAGCAAAAACUAUUGCUCAUGAAGG